AGGUAAUGAUUUUUUCAAGGAGCAGAAGUAUCCUGAUGCUCUUAAACAUUACACUGAAGCAAUCAAAAGGAACCCGAAAGACCCAAAAGGAUAUAGCAACCGAGCUGCGUGUUACAUUAAGCUAGGUGCAAUGGCUGAUGGAAAAAAGGAUGCAGAAAAGUGUAUUGAGAUUGAUCCAACCUUCUCUAAAGGAUACAGCAGAAAAGCUGCAGUUCAAUUCUUCUUGAAAGAGUAUGAGGAUGCGAUGAAAACAUACCAAGAGGGUCUCAAGCAUGAUCCGAAUAAUCAGGAACUUCUCGACGGUGUUAGUAGAUGUGUGAUGGAGCCUGCUUCAUGUGAAACUAUCCCGGAAAAGGGAGUGUUGAGUUUAGAGGUGAAGAGGUUUGUGAAGUGAAAAGAAGCAGAGGCUGUUUCCAAGGCUGGAGAAACCGUACAAGCUGUGAUGUUGGAGCCUGUCCCGAAAGAUGCAAUGCUGAGUUUAGAGGUCGAGACUUUUGUGAAGUGAAAAGAAGCAGAGGCUGGAGAAACUGUACAAGCUGUGAUGUUGGAGCCUGUCCCGAAAGAUGCAAUGCUGAGUUUAGAGGUCGAGACUUUUGUGAAGGGAAAAGAAGCAGAGGUAAAGAAUCUAAAAUCUUGUGAUGGAACCAAAACAGGGAAUAAGGAUUUUUGAGAUUUCUCAUGUUGGAAGUGUUUUGUGAAGUAGACUGUUUCCAAGGCUGCUGAAAAAGAAGUGAAGGUGUUACAAUACUAUAUUGUUUUAAAGGAUUUCGA